rnacentral:misc_RNA from 1 species
GAUGAAGAACGCAGCGAAAUGCGAUAAGUAAUGUGAAUUGCAGAAUUCAGUGAAUCAUCGAAUCUUUGAACGCACCUUGCGCCCUUUGGCCAUUCCGAAGGGCAUGCCUGUUUGAGUAUCAUGAACACCUCAACUCUUCAUGGUUUUCCGUGAUGAGCUUGGACUUUGGGGGUCUUGCUGGCCUAUGGUCAGCUCCUCUAAAAUAAAUCAGCUUGCCAGUGUUUGGUGGGUAUCACAGGUGUGAUAACUAUCUACGCUUGUGGUUUUCCACCAGGUAACCUUCAGCAGUGGAGGUUCGCUGGAGCUCACAGAUGUCUCUCCUCAGUGAGGACAGCCCUUUGAAUGUUUGAUCUCAAAUCAGGUAGGACUACCCGCUGAACUUAAGCAUAUCAAUAAGCGGAGGA